rnacentral:rRNA from 1 species
GCUAGUUGUAUUAACUCUUAGUUAAUACAAGAUCGACUAUGUCGACUAAAGUUCUAGGUAGAAUAAUGAUGAUGACAAUUUUCUACCUAUAUGUCUUGACCAAAUCUCGUGCCAGCAGUCGCGGUAAUACGUGGAAGACUAGUGUUAUUCAUCUUAAAUAGGUUUAAAGGGUACCUAGACGGUAUAUCUAGCCCAAAACAGGGUACGGAUUAACUAGAGUUUUAUGUGAGAAGGGGAGUACUUUUAGAGUAAAGAUGAAAUUUUAUGAUACUAUGAGGAAACUGGUGGCGGCGAAAGCAACCUUCUAUGUAUAAACUGACGUUGAGGGACGAAGGCUUGGGUAGCAAAUAGGAUUAGAUACCCUAGUAGUCCAAGCAGACAAUUCUGAAUGCCAUAGAUUAGAUUUUUUUGAUUUAUAAAUGAAAGUGUAAGCAUUCCACCUUAGGAGUAAUGUGGCAACACAGGAACUGAAAUCAUUAGACCGUUUCUGAAACCAGUAGUGAAGUAUGUUAUUUAAUUUGAUAGUCCUCAAAAAACCUUACCACAACUUGAAUGUUAUUUAAUUAAUACAAGCGUUGCACGGCUGUCUUCAGUUAAUGUCGUGAGAUUUUGGUUAACUCCUUAAAUUAACGUAAACCCAUGCUUUAU